CGGCGAGUGAGCGGCAAAAGCUCAAAUUUGAAAUCUGGCGUCUUCGACGUCCGAGUUGUAAUUUGAAGAAGGCGACUUUGUAGCUGGUCCUUGUCUAUGUUCCUUGGAACAGGACGUCAUAGAGGGUGAGAAUCCCGUGUGGCGAGGAUCCCAGUUAUUUGUAAAGUGCUUUCGACGAGUCGAGUUGUUUGGGAAUGCAGCUCUAAGUGGGUGGUAAAUUCCAUCUAAAGCUAAAUAUUGGCGAGAGACCGAUAGCGAACAAGUACAGUGAUGGAAAGAUGAAAAGAACUUUGAAAAGAGAGUGAAAAAGUACGUGAAAUUGUUGAAAGGGAAGGGCAUUUGAUCAGACAUGGCGUUUGCUUCGGCUUUCGCUGGGCCAGCAUCAGUUUUAGCGGUUGGAUAAAUCCUCGGGAAUGUGGCUCUGCUUCGGUAGAGUGUUAUAGCCCGUGGGAAUACAGCCAGCUGGGACUGAGGAUUGCGACUUUUGUCAAGGAUGCUGGCGUAAUGGUUAAAUGCCGCCCGU
rnacentral:rRNA from 1 species